rnacentral:rRNA from 1 species
AUUGAACGCUGGCGGCAGGCUUAACACAUGCAAGUCGAGCAGGGGAAGGUAGCUUGCUACUGGACCUAGCGGCGGACGGGUGAGUAAUGCUUAGGAAUCUGCCUAUUAGUGGGGGACAACAUCUCGAAAGGGAUGCUAAUACCGCAUACGUCCUACGGGAGAAAGCAGGGGAUCUUCGGACCUUGCGCUAAUAGAUGAGCCUAAGUCGGAUUAGCUAGUUGGUGGGGUAAAGGCCUACCAAGGCGACGAUCUGUAGCGGGUCUGAGAGGAUGAUCCGCCACACUGGGACUGAGACACGGCCCAGACUCCUACGGGAGGCAGCAGUGGGGAAUAUUGGACAAUGGGGGGAACCCUGAUCCAGCCAUGCCGCGUGUGUGAAGAAGGCCUUAUGGCUGUAAAGCACUUUAAGCGAGGAGGAGGCUACUCUAGUUAAUACCUAGGGAUAGUGGACGUUACUCGCAGAAUAAGCACCGGCUAACUCUGUGCCAGCCGCCGCCGUAA